rnacentral:lncRNA from 1 species
GUAUAACAAAUAUAUGUAUUUCAACAUUGUUGUAGAGAACAAAGGAAUCUAGAGAUUUGAGAUUAAAUUGAUGAACAGAAAAACGAAUAAUUCUACCCACUGUCAUCUCUGUUCACAGCGUGUCUGGUGUAAAAACAACAGGCAACAAUUUGAUUACUUAAACGCUUGAGUCGAGAAAAAUGAAUGGCACAUUGUCAAAGCAUGCAGGCACACCACGGGAUGAUCAUUACUGAAUUAUGUAGAAAUACACAUAAAAAGUGCCAGAGGUUGCGGACUGGGGUGGUCUAGCGGUCUAAGCCACUGCCUCUGCCCCACUGCUACAAUAUUUCAGCACAUCGCCUCUAUCUCUAUUCAAUUCAAUAAACAUGAAACAUGGGACUGCCCCACUCGUUUAAAAAUAUAAAUGUGGCCCACAUGGCCCCUGGGGAAUUGGCAUUUGAUUCCUUGAUCAACCUCUUUCAACUAUUUAUUCAACCCUCUCUCACCUGUCCCCCUCUCAUUAUGUGUAUCUGAAUAAACAACGAAUACGAACAUUGAACUUUAUUCCGUUCUCCUUCAAAGGAAUUACUUGUUUGUUGUGUUGCAUUAUUGUGACCAUGUCUUCUACUCUUUCCUCCAGGGGAGCCGCUGGCAGGUCGAUCCGGACUGGGCGUCCCCCGAGGUUACUGGAACUUCUCCUGGAUGGCCCAGGAUGAGCUGAACUCCCCCAAGGUCAUGGCACCGACGUCAGAUAUCGGGUGCCCUGGAAAAAGGAAGUCAUGUGACCGCCCGUACCCCGAAUAUAACCCUUAUUUCACGUGGAGCGUGGUGGUGGCGGAGAACCCUUGGGAAGAGGGGAACGAGAGGAUGGAAAGGAAAGGAGGAAGUCCACAGGGCUGGGAGGAAGGUAUGAAUAAAGGUAUCACAAUUCCCUCCGAGCCAGGGAAGUACCUUCUACAUGAUUGCAUGUUUCAUAUAGUAAUUCCAAAAUUAUUCAGGAGUACCGUGUCCAUAUUACGACAGCCUCAGUCAGCAGGACUUAACUGGAGGCAUUGUCUUUCAUACACGGGUGGCAACCAACACUCAUACCUAAGAUUAUUUUCAGAAAUGCUGUGUGCUUGUUCAGGAAUAACUCUAAUUGUAAAAGCUGCAUUUGUGUUUGUUCUACAACCUUGGUUCAAACAACACAUUUGACAACAGUGGUGCUACAGGAGAAAAGUGAAUAGAUAAUCUCACACUAUGAGAACACAAAAGCAGAACCAUACACUGCUGAAGGUUAAAAAUAUUUGCUUUUAAUUGGGGGAAACCUUCAGGUAGAAUACUACACGACAUGCAUCAAAGUUAAACUCUACAUUGAGUAUACAAAACAUUAACAUUAAGAACACCUUCUAUUUCCAUGACCAGGUGAAAGCUAUGAUCCCUUAUUGAUGUCACUUGUUAAAUCCACUUAAAAUCAGUGUAGAUGAAGGGGAGUAGAGAGGUUAAAUAAGGAGACAAUUGAAACGGGGAUUGUGUAUGUGUGCCAUUCAGAGGGUGAAUUGGCAAGACAAAAGAUUUAAGGGCAUUUGAAUGGGAUAUGGUAGUAGGUGCCAGUAGGUACUCCGGUUUAUGUCAAGAACUGAAACGCUGCUCAACUCAAUAUUAGGAAGGUAUUCCUAAUGUUUGAUAUACUCAGUGUAUUUCAGUGUUAUUGAGAAACAUUGAAUAGUCUCCCUUUUUGAAGAGAGGUAAGAAUGAGUGAGUUGUUUGUAAAAUGAGAAAUCAUCUUCUUUCAGUCCAUUUCCAGAAGCGAUGUUGUACAUUUACUUACAUGCUAUUAUGAUUGUUAUCGUGUCCCCCCAAGUACCUGGGUCGGGACAUAUGUUUUAUUGUGGAUAAGGAACUUGUCGGGUAGCAGGGAGUUUAGAUCCAAUGCUCUUGGUAGUGGUUGGGGGUUGGCUAAACAAAGGAAGGAAUUUAAAAUGCGUAAUCGAAAGCGAGAAAAAGAGAGAGAAAGAAAGUGAGAGCCGGUGGGAUGGUCAAAUGUCUGGGUAGGUGCUGUAUGACUCUCUGUCUUCUAUGUUUUUUCAUCUGCAGAACAACAGCAUCCGAGUCCACAUUAAUCCAUAAAGCAUUUGUCUAGAAAGUUUAUGCAUUUAUUUCCAUUUCAAAGAAGGGAUAGUGAUGGAAUGAGAGAGAGAGAGAGAGAGAGAGAGAUAGGAGUGAUGGUGCGAGAGAAGGAGAGAGAGGUGUAUGUGUGGUGGGUGUUAAGGAUUGAUGCAUUCAUUUCUGUUUCAGAGAAGCAAUAGAGUGAUGAAAUGAGAGAGUGAAAGAGAGAGAGAAGUUGUGUGUGGUGGGGGAUUGGGGUUGGGGCCUACAAAGCUUCCUCAUUAGUCAGUCAGGUGGCACUUUGUUCCGAGAAUUACAAGCUCUUGAGGCACAACUUCUGCACUUCAAAGGAAAAUCAAAACAAAUCUCAAUGCAGUCCAGACACCUCUCUCUCUCAUUCUCACUUUCAAUCGCAACAAUUGCCUUCUAAUGUGUGAGGGUGUCCGGAAAGUCUUUGAAAUUGCAAGGUAAUGAUAGCAACUAAAAACAACCCACAUAAAACAGUCCAAACAAACAUAAUGGCAAAUUGAUCAAAGAUGGUAUCUCAUAAAUGUUUAACUGCAGAUACAUUCUGAGUUCGUUUUGCCACAGUGGACCAGAAAAUCAGACAUAACUAAUAAAAUGUUCGUGAAAUGUCUAAAUCAAACCCGGGCUGCAGGUAUCCUAGUGGUUAGAGUGUUGGGCCAGUAACCGAAAUGGCUGCAAGCUCGAAUCCCCGCGCUAACAAGGAAAAAAUCUGCCCUUCUGCCCCUUAACAAGGCAGCUUAUCCACUGUUCCUAGGCCAUCAUUGUAAAUAAGAAUUUGUUCCUAACUGACUUGCCUAGUAAAUAAAGGUACAAAAAUAAAUACAAAUUAAAAACCCGCAUGUGGUUGGCCUAUGAGGUAGCUCAUCUUUGGGCUACGACACCCCUUUUUGAGCAACGAAAGGUCAUUGCUAUUAAGUCAAGAUGUGUAAGGCCUAUGAGGUAGCUCAUGAUUUUGGGGUAUGACGCCCCAUUUGAGUAACGAACGAUCAUGGCUAUUGAAUCAUAUCAACAUUUGAAAGGCCUAUGAGGUAGCCGAUUUUUUGGGGAAAGAAGCACCCUUACAGUAAUGCACACAGUCACAUCAACAUGCGGUGGGCCUAGGAGCUAGCUCAUGUUUUAAUAAGGUUAAGAAGCCCCCUUUUGAGUGACCAACAGCCAUUGUUAUUGAAUCACAUGUGGCAUACCUAUGAGGUAGCUAAUUCUUGGGGGCCAAGAAUCAUCCUUUGAAUAACGCACAGUCAAAUCAAAUCAAAUCAAAUUUUAUUUGUCACAUACACAUGGUUAGCAGAUGUUAAUGCGAGUGUAGCGAAAUGCUUGUGCUUCUAGUUCCGACAAUGCAGUAAUAACCAACAAGUUAUCUAACUAACAAUACCAAAACUACUGUCUUAUACACAGUGUAAGGGGAUAAAGAAUAUGUACAUAAGGAUAUAUGAAUGAGUGAUGGUACAGAGCAGCAUAGGCAGGAUACAGUAGAUGGUAUCGAGUACAGUAUAUACAUGAAGUGAGUAUGUAAACAAAGUGGCAUAGUUAAAGUGGCUAGUGAUACAUGUAUUACAUAAGGAUGCAGUCUAUAGUACAGUAUAUACGUAUGCAUAUGAGAUGAGUAAUGUAGGGUAAGUAACAUUAUAUAAGGUAGCAUUGUUUAAAGUGGCUAGUGAUAUAUUUACAUCAUUUCCCAUAAAUUCCCAUUAUUAAAGUGGCUGGAGUUGAGUCAGUAUCAGUGUCAGUGUGUUGGCAGCAGCCACUCAAUGUUAGUGGUGGCUGUUUAACAGUCUGAUGGCCUUGAGAUAGAAGCUGUUUUUCAGUCUCUCGGUCCCAGCUUUGAUGCACCUGUACUGACCUCGCCUUCUGGAUGAUAGCGGGGUGAACAGGCAGUGGCUCGGGUGGUUGAUGUCCUUGAUAAUCUUUAUGGCCUUCCUGUAACAUCGGGUGGUGUAGGUGUCCUGGAGGGCAGGUAGUUUGCCCCCGGUGAUGCGUUGUGCAGACCUCACUACCCUCUGGAGAGCCUUAUGGUUGUGGGCGGAGCAGUUGCCGUACCAGGCGGUGAUACAGCCCGCCAGGAUGCUCUCGAUUGUGCAUCUGUAGAAGUUUGUGAGUGCUUUUGGUGACAAACCGAAUUUCUUCAGCCUCCUGAGGUUGAAGAGGCGCUGCUGCGCCUUCUUCACGAUGCUGUCUGUGUGAGUGGACCAAUUCAGUUUGUCUGUGAUGUGUAUGCCGAGGAACUUAAAACUUGCUACCCUCUCCACUACUGUUCCAUCGAUGUGGAUAGGGGGGUGUUCCCUCUGCUGUUUCCUGAAGUCCACAAUCAUCUCCUUAGUUUUGUUGACGUUGAGUGUGAGGUUAUUUUCCUGACACCACACUCCGAGGGCCCUCACCUCCUCCCUGUAGGCCGUCUCGUCGUUGUUGGUAAUCAAGCCUACCACUGUUGUGUCGUCCGCAAACUUGAUGAUUGAGUUGGAGGCGUGCGUGGCCACGCAGUCGUGGGUGAACAGGGAGUACAGGAGAGGGCUCAGAACGUACCCUUGUGGGGCCCCAGUGUUGAGGAUCAGCGGGGUGGAGAUGUUGUUGCCUACCCUCACCAUCUGGGGGCGGCCCGUCAGGAAGUCCAGUACCCAGUUGCACAGGGCGGGGUCGAGACCCAGGGUCUCGAGCUUGAUGACGAGCUUGGAGGGUACUAUGGUGUUGAAUGCCGAGCUGUAGUCGAUGAACAGCAUUCUCACAUAGGUAUUCCUCUUGUCUUGAUGGGUUAGGGCAGUGUGCAGUGUGGUUGAGAUUGCAUGGUCUGUGGACCUAUUUGGGCGGUAAUCAAAUUGGAGUGGGUCUAGGGUGUCGGGUAGGGUGGAGGUGAUAUGGUCCUUGACUAGUCUCUCAAAGCACUUCAUGAUGACGGAAGUGAGUGCUACGGGGCGGUAGUCGUUUAGCUCAGUUACCUUAGCUUUCUUGGGAACAGGAACAAUGGUGGCCCUCUUGAAGCAUGUGGGAACAGCAGACUGGGAUAAGGAUUGAUUGAAUAUGUCCGUAAACACACCGGCCAGCUGGUCUGCGCAUGCUCUGAGGGCGCGGCUGGGGAUGCCAUCUGGGCCUGCAGCCUUGCGAGGGUUAAUACGUUUAAAUGUCUUACUCACCUCGGCUGCAGUGAAGGAGAGACCGCAUGUUUUCGUUGCAGGCCGUGUCAGUGGCACUGUAUUGUCCUCAAAGCGGGCAAAAAAGUUAUUUAGUCUGCCUGGGAGCAGGACAUUCUGGUCCGUGACUGGGCUGGAUUUCUUCUUGUAGUCCGUGAUUGACUGUAGACCCUGCCACAUGCCUCUUGUGUCUGAGCCGUUUAAUUGAGAUUCUACUUUGUCUCUGUACUGACGCUUAGCUUGUUUGAAAGCCUUGCGGAGGGAAUAGCUGCACUGUUUGUAUUCGGUCAUGUUACCAGUCACCUUGCCCUGAUUAAAAGCAGUGGUUUGCGCUUUCAGUUUCACGCGAAUGCUGCCAUCAAUCCACGGUUUCUGGUUAGGGAAUGUUUUAAUCGUUGCUAUGGGAACGACAUCUUCAACGCACGUUCUAAUGAACUCGCACACCGAAUCAGCGUAUUGGUCAAUAUUGUUAUCUGACGCAAUACGAAACAUGUCCCAUUCCAC